UGGGAAAGUAAAUUAUUACUUAAUUAUUGAAUUUUUUUAAUUCGUUUAUAUAUAUAGUUAUAUAUAAUUUAUUUCUAUUUUUAUUUAUUAUAUAUAAUUUAUAAGAACUAUUCAGCUUUCAACGGAAUACAAUGAAGAAAAUGUAUAAUUUUAUUAUAUUUAGAUUUCUAGUAGGUCAUAUGUUUGAAGAAAUUAUUGAACUUUUUAUAUAUAAAUGUUAAGUUUUCUGAAACGAUAUUAAGUUUAAGAAUUUUUCAGGAUAUUUGACCAGGGAUAAAAAUUAUACAACAUAAUUUUAAGAUCUUACACGGAUGAUAUUUAACAUUGAUGAAACGAAAUGUAUAUAUAAUUUAAUGCAUAGAUAAUCAAUUGUGUGUGAUAAUGUGCGUUAAUUAAUUGUGUGUUAGUCUAUGCUAAUUAAUUAUAUAGAAGAAUGUAAUGUAAUGUUGAAGUCUUGUGAUGUUUCAAUCGUAUCAGCGAGGACUGUCAUGAGACCGUGUCGAAGAGUUCGUAUCGAUGCCGAUAUGGCCUCACCGAAAAGCAUAAUUCGAUGGGCAAUGUUAUGCCCUUCUAGUGAUGUGCCUAAUGAAAAUGAAAUAAGCGACGCUCGGAGAAUAGAAAUAUUCGCUAAGAGAAAUAUUCCACAGCCGAGUGUUCCAUAGAAGCGUCAGAGAAAGUCAUUGUGAAAGUGUUAGCCGGCACUAUCCCAUCCUUUUUUUCUCCAGACAAAGGGAAACAAAAGGAAAGUAAAUAUACAUGAUAAACGCAAUCGAUUUUUUUUAUUUUUCUUUUUUAUUUGUCGUUCUUUGUUAUUACAUUCUCUUUACUUUAUAGAUAUAUUUAUACGUUAUAGAAAUAUAUUUCGUAUUUAAAUUU
rnacentral:lncRNA from 1 species